UAGAGCCAACUAGGUUGACCAGCUUCCUCACUGGGUCUGGUAUGCUAGGCUACAAGCAGCAGCUUCCUAGACAGUGUAUGUAGCCUGCUGCUUCUAUCGGUUUCCCUAUGGGAUGCUGGAGAUGGUU
rnacentral:snoRNA from 1 species